GACGAACGCUGGCGGCGUGCUUAACACAUGCCAGUCGAACGGAAAGGCCCCUUCGGGGGUACUCGAGUGGCGAACGGGUGAGUAACACGUGAGUAACCUGCCCUUGACUUCGGGAUAACUUCAGGAAACUGGGGCUAAUACCGGAUAGGAAUCCUUGCUGCAUGGUGGGGGUUGGAAAGCUUCGGCGGUUUUGGAUGGACUCGCGGCUUAUCAGCUUGUUGGUGGGGUAGUGGCUUACCAAGGCUUUGACGGGUAGCCGGCCUGAGAGGGCGACCGGCCACAUUGGGACUGGGAUACGGCCCAGACUCCUACGGGAGGCAGCAGUGGGGAAUAUUGCACAAUGGGCGGAAGCCUGAUGCAGCAACGCCGCGGGCGGGAUGACGGCCUUCGGGUUGUAAACCGCUUUCAGCAGGGGCGAAGCUUGUGGUGACGGUACCUGCAGAAGAAGCACCGGCUAACUACGUG
rnacentral:rRNA from 1 species